rnacentral:rRNA from 1 species
CGGCGGACGGGUGAGUAACACGUGGAUAACCUACCUAUAAGACUGGGAUAACUUCGGGAAACCGGAGCUAAUACCGGAUAAUAUAUUGAACCGCAUGGUUCAAUAGUGAAAGACGGUUUUGCUGUCACUUAUAGAUGGAUCCUCGCCGCAUUAGCUAGUUGGUAAGGUAACGGCUUACCAAGGCAACGAUGCGUAGCCGACCUGAGAGGGUGAUCGGCCACACUGGAACUGAGACACGGUCCAG